rnacentral:rRNA from 1 species
UACGUAGGCAGCAAGCGUUGUUCGGAGUUACUGGGCGUAAAGAGCGCGCAGGCGGUCGAUCAAGUCGCGUGUGAAAGCCCCCGGCUCAACUGGGGAGGGUCACGCGAUACUGAUCGACUCGAAGGCAGGAGAGGGUAGUGGAAUUCCCGGUGUAGUGGUGAAAUGCGUAGAUAUCGGGAGGAACACCAGUGGCGAAGGCGACUACCUGGCCUGUUCUUGACGCUGAGGCGCGAAAGCUAGGGGAGCAAACGGG